rnacentral:rRNA from 1 species
UACGUAGGGUGCAAGCGUUGUCCGGAAUUAUUGGGCGUAAAGAGCUCGUAGGCGGUUUGUCGCGUCGAAUGUGAAAACCCGGGGCUCAACCCCGGGCCUGCAUUCGAUACGGGCAGACUAGAGUUCGGUAGGGGAGUCUGGAAUUCCUGGUGUAGCGGUGAAAUGCGCAGAUAUCAGGAGGAACACCGGUGGCGAAGGCGGUUCUCUGGGAAUGACCUGACGCUGAGGAGCGAAAGUGUGGGGAGCGAACAGG